UCGGCCUCUUGGCGGCCAUGGCGGUAUACGUGCUGGUAUCGUCGUUGCUCCCGUGGUUGACCUGGGACACCGCAGACGACCCUCCAUAGCUCCCGGCCUGCUGGCGGGAAGACAGCGUCUCGCACUGCCGAUCGUAAAAAAUGUCGCGUUCUUUUCCCUCCGAGGGCUCGGUCGCCCUGAUAUGUGCAGCAGACUAACCUUGGAGUUUUGUCUGCUGGGAAUUAAGCUGUGAGGACAUGUUGGUGUCUUAGGAAAGCUGGUGACAAAGCUCUGCUUGUGAUGUGAACUUUAUGCCCAACCGUGGCCCGCUGAGAUCCAGAAGCCAGGAGGAAUAAGGCCUACCUUUUGGUCACCUGACUGAUCAGGACAGGUGGCAGAUGUGAUUAUAGGCCAUGAGCUUCAAAUGUGGCCUCUGCAACUUCAAGGACCUGCAGAACCACCCAUACAGGCUUUGGGCAGCGCCAUGCUUCUGUCCUGGCAGCCCUAAUUACAGACCACAUUUGCUUUGGCUUGAACUGUUCCUUCAAGACUGAAGUGAGAUCUGUGUGGUAGCACUAGAGGUAGAGGGCCCUCUUAAGAUUCAGCAUUUCCAUCUGACUAGCUGCAUGUGUCAUGGCCUUAGAAGUGAUGAUUAUGGAGGAGGAGGAAGCUAGCAGUAGGUGCUUGUGACAAAUAAACUUGUCAAUUCUUGAAACUUGUAA